UAGAGGGAAUGAAUCCUAGAUAUCAUAUUAUCCCUAAGCCCACCUGCCUCGGAUCAUCUUCCACGCUGAUAUAUCACUGUCAAAAUGGAAGCCACAGGGGCACUCUCAAUGUCAUGGGCCAGCAUAGAGCGGUGGCGUUAAUAAGCAACAGCCAAAGAAAGCUGCUAGCAAGUGUUUUGCAUCAGUCAGUCGGCCCUUUCUCCAAUGUUUUCCAGCCUAGCAGGAUCUGCCAUGAAUAAACCCUGGCCCAAAAGCUUGUCCUCCUCACACCCAAAAACCUGUGUCCUGUGAGGACAGUGCUCUCUUGAACUCAGUCUCAUGAUUCCCAAUCAGAGGGAUUUGCUUCCCCCUGCUGGUUCUCUCGCUCCAUAGCUGGGCAGGUGCCCAAGUCCAGAGUCCAAGCUUCAUGGACGUUGACUGAGGGGCAGCGGUCCUUUCCCUGCGCUAGAAGCCACCCCAAGCACUGCUUGCCUUUCUCCGUCCACACACGGCGCCUCUCUCUCUCUUCCUCUCUGCUACCAUGACGGCCACCCGCUGGGGGAUCUGCUCUGCCGGCAAGAUCAGCCACGAUUUUCUAGUGGCUAUGAAGACUCUGCCAUCAGAGGACCACAAGCUGCCCAGAGUGCUGGGACAACCCAAUAAGAUGUGUGCGGGGUAUACUGCAAAUAGUAAAGCUAUUAUUAUGAGAUGGGACGUCCCUAUUUCCAUCGGAGAAAUGUUGGAGGUGUUGGCCAUUGCUUCUCGGGAGCUGAGCCGGGCACAGGAAUAUGCCAAGAACCACAGCAUCCCCAAGGCCUAUGGCUCUUACGCAGAACUGGCUCAGGAUCCGGACAUUGAUGUGGUGUAUGUGGGAGUUGUGCACCCCCACCACCUGCCAGCCACCCUCCUCUUCAUCCAGGCUGGGAAAAACGUGCUCUGCGAGAAGCCCCUGGGCAUGAACGCUGCAGAGGUCAAGAAGAUGGUGCAGGCAGCUCGGGAAAAGGAGGUCUUCCUCAUGGAGGCUUGCUGGACCCGCUUCUUCCCUGCUUUGGAGAAGAUCCGCUCUCUGCUCGAUCAAAAGACUGUUGGGGAUGUGUUAGUGGUUCAAACCGAUUUUGGUGUCCCUAACCAAACUGUCCCCAGGGCUGUGGAGAAAGAUCUUGGUGGAGGCGCCUUACUGGAUAUUGGUGUCUACUGUGUUCAGCUGGCCUGCAUGGUUUUUGAUGGGGAGAAGCCAGAGUCCAUUGUGGCCUCAGGGUUCUUGCAUGGAACAGGGGUAGAUGAAACAGCUUCAGUUAUCCUGAAUUACUCUGGCCAACGCCAAGCUGCCCUCACUUAUACCAUGAUGGCCUGGAUGCCCAACAAAGCCAGCAUUACUGGCACCAAGGGGAUAAUUGAGAUCCCCGGUCCCUUCUGGUGCCCAGACGAGUUGGUUGUAAAUGGACAGAAGGAAGAGUUUCCUCUUCCUCAUCCUUCCCAAAAACUGUACUUCAUCAAAUCCACUGGCCUGCGCUAUGAAGCAGAACAUGUCAGGCAAUGUCUCCUUCAAGGCCUGAAGGAGAGCCCCAUCAUGUCUCAUGGAGACAGUGAGCUUCUCCACUCUAUCCUGGAUGAAAUCCGUAGGCAGCUGGGGGUGUCCUAUCCUCAGGACCACGCAUGACCCAUUCCAGGCGAGGCGGCAGCUAGACCAGAUUUUACUAUCAGAAACGCCAGUCUGGUGGGUGGAUUUGCAACAAAUGCCAGCAAAUACUGAUUGUCGGGUGGGAUAAUGAUCUACUGCACCUGAUCUUGUCUGACGGUCAGCAGCAUUCCAGAGCGGCUGCCAACAGGGCAGAGGGAACAAUUCUACCUGGAGAUCAUGCAGAUUGAACCGGAACGUUUUGCAGUUUCUUUACCACUGAUCAACGUUGGAGCCACCUUGGGAAUUCUGCAGACUCACUUGGUGGGAUAGCAAGGGACACGGAGGGGAUCAGUAAAUGCCAUAAGGCAAGAGCAACUGGACUGCAAACAUUAUGAAGAAGUCCCUACGGUUGUCCUGUGAGUACUGUACGUACAAUAAAUCCCUUUGUUCUCAUUUUGCCCCAUAUAAAUGAGAAAGCCAAUGUGAGGACUGUUUGCAAUUAGCCAUUUUGCUAUUGCACCCCUAUUGCGGAGCCUAUGGAAGCUCUCAUCCCAGCCUUGCAGAAUGAAAUUACAGCAGAAGAAAGAAUCGGGGAAGCGCAGCCUCUUAUCUCUGUUGCGUUGCUUUUGCAAGGAGUUGAGCAGCAAUCCUGCCUCAUUGUGUUUGAUGACCACCCAUCCAAGUUCUCUGGACGGUUUGAUGAUGAUGAUAAUUGUAAUUAUAAUUUAUUUGUACCCUG